GUCGUGCCCCAACCCCCCGCACCUUCCCUUCUCCUCCUGUGCCCAAACCGCUCGACACUGUUUCUUCUCUUCCCUUUUUUCUUUCGCGACGCAAAGCCUUCCCUUCUUCUUCCCUGAGCCGAUCCCCUCUUCCUCUUCUCGCGCUGUCGCUGACCUUCUCUGUGCUGAUCCUUCUUUCUCUUCGAGCCACCGCCGGCCAAACUUCUUCUCCUCUACCGACCUGCCGACACCAAUAACUCACGGAGCACCCCGAAAGUUCUUCCCUCUCCCAGAUCGCCGCUCCACACAAGCAAAUCUUUGGCAUAGAAGGGAGAUCCAAGCCCAAGAUUUGAUCCCUCAUUGCUGCAGUCACUCUUGCGUCGCGACUCCGACUAUCGAGUCAUGCCCUAGCGUGGAUCCACUGCUCCUCUUCCAAUCUGGAAUCGUGCCCUAAUUCCCCGACUCCAGCCUCCACUGGUCUCACACCUCAGUGUCGUUGUCCCUCUGCCCUAGCUCCGACCAAUCUUUCCUCUGCCCUAGUUGCGAUCUUGGAGAGCAUCUUGUUACUAUAUGGUGAUCUUGGAGUGGCUACAUUGGUUAUAGGCAAAGAGGAGGUGAUCAGUGUGAACUUAGAAUAAGCUUCCUCUAUUGUUUCCAGCAGCGGCUCCGUUCUUGUUCCGGCAGCCAACGUCUUUGAUUUUGGAUCAACAGUGAUACACCCAAAUUUAGGUACCAAGUUGUUUAUAGAGUCGCUUGGAGUAUCCUGCCUGCCGGUCCCCACAUCACAUCAG